GCCGGCGUAGCUCAGUGGUAGAGCAGCUGUUUUGUAAACAGCACGUCAUCCGUUCGAAUCGGAUCGUCGGCUCCA
rnacentral:tRNA from 1 species